UACGUGCCAGCAGCCGCGGUAAGACGUAGGACGCGAGCGUUAUCCGGAAUUACUGGGCGUAAAGGGCCAGCAGGCGGCUUGGUAAGUUGUGCGUGAAAGCCUCGUGCUCAACGCGAGGAAGCCGGACAAUACUGUCGAGCUAGAGGGCAUCAGAGGGGAGUGGAAUUCCCGGAGUAGCGGUAAAAUGCGCAGAUAUCGGGAGGAACACCGAUGGCGAAGGCAGCUCCCUGGGAUGCACCUGACGCUAAGAGGCGAAAGCUAGGGGAGCGAACAGGAUUAGAGACCCUGGUAGUCCUAGCUGUAAACGCUGGGUGCUAGGUGUGGGACGUAGAAGUUCCGUGCCGGAGCAAACGCGAUAAGCACCCCGCCUGGGAAUUACGGUCGCAAGGCUAAAACUCAAACGAAUUGACGGGGCCCCGCACAAGCAGCGGAGCGUGUGGUUCAAUUCGAUGCUACACGAAGAACCUUACCUGGGUUUGACAUGUACGUGGUACGAAGGCGAAAGCCUAAGGACCCUUCGGGGAGCGUACACAGGUGCUGCAUGGCUGUCGUCAGCUCGUGCCGUGAGGUGUCGGGUUAAGUCCCGUAACGAGCGCAACCCUUGCCCUUAGUUACAAGUGUCUAAGGGGACUGCCGGCGGGAAGCCGGAGGAAGGUGGGGAUGACGUCAAGUCAGCAUGGCCCUUAUGUCCAGGGCUACACACACGCUACAAUGGUCAGUACAAAGGGUAGCGAAGUCGCGAGGCGGAGCGAAUCUCAACAAAGCUGAUCGUAGUUCGGAUUGCAGGCUGCAACCCGCCUGCAGAAGCUGGAGU
rnacentral:rRNA from 1 species